CUGCCUUCCCGAUCUCCGUGCUCCUUCUCUCCACCCCUCGGAUUGCAAUAGAAGGCGGCUGGCGAACUUUGUGCCGGUUCGCCGUAGUAGCUGCAGCCUGCGCGCCACUCUCCUCUUCCCGUCACCGUGGAGCUUCCCUGAUCCGUCGCCGAGGAGCUGAGCCGACCCGUCACUGAGGACGCUGCGCCGACCCGUCGCCGGGGUGCCGUGUCGUGGUGGUUGCCAAGACAAUGGGAACAAGGCCGGCGACGUCGAGGCUUCCGCCGUUCUGUCCAGUGGUGCCGCACUGAGCCAGCGAGGCGCCUGGUCAAGUUGAGCAUCGGCGGCUGGGGGCUACCUCGUGCUGGGCUGCUGCUGCCCACCCGUCGGCACAAGGCCCGUGUUCAUCUCCUUUGCUGUCCUCGCCGUUACAUAAUUCGUCUAGCUCGACACUGCAACGGCUGUUCCAUGGCGUCACUAUGGGUGGAGACGGUCACUGAACAGGAGCAUUGGUCGAGUCAAGGCCAUUGUGGAUAGUGGAUACGGCGUCUCCCUCUGAAGAUUUGAGCGGAUACAGGCAGUUAUCCGGCCAGCAAAGUGUUGAGAUGAACCGUGGUGGUUGCAGUGUAGUAUAGCUCUGGGUCUUUUUUCCUUUUGUGGUAUUGUGAUAAGUCUGUACUGGGUCUUUUUUCCUUUUUUCUUAAUUUUUUAUUUCCUGACAUGUUUAUGCAAUUUCCUUUUUUGUUUAAUAAUAAAAUUACCAGUAAAUUUUUCUUAUU